UACGUAGGGUGCGAGCGUUGUCCGGAAUUAUUGGGCGUAAAGGGCUCGUAGGCGGUUUGUCGCGUCGGGAGUGAAAAACGCCGUGCUUAACACGGCGCUUGCUUUUCGAUACGGGCAGACUAGAGGUAUUCAGGGGAGAACGGAAUUCCUGGUGUAGCGGUGAAAUGCGCAGAUAUCAGGAGGAACACCGGUGGCGAAGGCGGUUCUCUGGGGAAUGACCUGACGCUGAGGAGCGAAAAGUGUGGGGGAGCGAACAGG
rnacentral:rRNA from 1 species